CCUACGGGAGGCAGCAGUGGGGAAUAUUGCACAAUGGGCGCAAGCCUGAUGCAGCAACGCCGCGUGAGGGACGACGGCCUUCGGGUUGUAAACCUCUUUUAGUAGGGAAGAAGCGAAAGUGACGGUACCUGCAGAAAAAGCACCGGCUAACUACGUGCCAGCAGCCGCGGUAAUACGUAGGGUGCAAGCGUUAUCCGGAAUUAUUGGGCGUAAAGAGCUCGUAGGCGGUUUGUCGCGUCUGCUGUGAAAACUGGAGGCUCAACCUCCAGCCUGCAGUGGGUACGGGCAGACUAGAGUGCGGUAGGGGAGAUUGGAAUUCCUGGUGUAGCGGUGGAAUGCGCAGAUAUCAGGAGGAACACCGAUGGCGAAGGCAGAUCUCUGGGCCGUAACUGACGCUGAGGAGCGAAAGCAUGGGGAGCGAACAGGAUUAGAUACCCUGGUAGUCCAUGCCGUAAACGUUGGGAACUAGAUGUAGGGACCAUUCCACGGUUUCUGUGUCGCNGCUACGACAUAACGUUACCCGUCCGUCGGGAGGUACGGCCGCGACGACGUAAACUACAACUAGAAGUUAGUACGGCGUGAGACGUAGCCGACGGACGACGACGAGGGAGGAGG
rnacentral:rRNA from 1 species